UGUCACUGUGUACGUUUUUCACAACACCAGAUCUGCAAAUUCCUUUCGGAAAACAAAACAAAAACUUGCUCGUCACACUAACCGUUCGUUGGGUCCUUCAGUAUUUUCAAACUUUCGUUUAGUCCAGAAAUAUCCAUAUUCUGAUAGAAUAAAAUUUACGAUUGAGAACGCACGUGUAAAACAUUCUCAGGAUAAAUUAUUAAACACCAACGGUCCAAAAGCAACUUGCGUGAGACAAGUUCUAUUUAUGUCUAUAAAUCCGAAUAAAAUUUCAAGAGCGGAAACGGAGAUUAUCAGUGACCGUUUUUAUAUUUCGUCCUCGGAGAAAAACCCAAGAUACAUUGGAGCACACGUUUUCGUGAGUAGUGCCACCGCAAAGUGAAUCUAAAUCAGUCCUCGCUUUCACGUCUCCUGACACCCGUUUGUCAGUCAGCAAUUUUUCAUCUUUUCAUAUCCACUUGUAUCUUCUUCACGGAUGUAUUUUAUUUAAAAACAUUGAUAUACGAUGGUAUAUGUGACGAGUUAUCAUAAAGCUAUCGGAGGGUCAGACUCUACUUCGUCAGGUGCUCAUGUCACAAAUAAUGUCUUCGGCAUCCACUGUCACGGUAAUACGAUCUCAUUUUAUGAAUAAUAUUUCAUCCAAACGCAACAUUAUCUCGUAUUUUAGCAAGGCCAUGAGAUAAUGCGCUGCAAAGAAAUGAACUCCGAUAUAAUAUUGUGAUUGGAGAAAGGUUUAAUGAAAGGUUAAAUGAUCUUUUUAUCGUUAUCGUAUACAACGACGGUGCCCAUAAUUUGACAACAGUUUUGUAACGAAACUGCGAAAUAUCGCUUCGUAAUAAUGCAAUUCAGCUUUUUCCAUUGUUCGCUCAUUUGUUUUUCUUUCUGCAAAGCAGCAGCAACAAGGACCGAUUUUUAUUCCAUCCGAGUAGACCAGAAACUCUGAGUCAUCCACGAGGGCAAUUUUUUCCCCGUCUUCCCUGGCUAGCCGGUUUUCACAGGAACGUUUAUUCCGCACUCGGACUCGCUCGGCAAAGCAGAAAGAACGUGUUCAAAUGAGAAGGAGUGAGGAAAAAAGUGAGCUACACUAGAUCGUUGCAGCCUGAGAAACAACAUUUCUUCAUUGACAAGAGUGUCUUCGUCGUCGGUAUCCGGUCCGAGUGAGACCGGAGUGUAAACAAUGGAAUCCCUAUUUCUCAUCUUUUUAUAUCACUCGGCUCCAAUUCAUUCGCUCUCUUAUCGACCGUGCGUGUAUCCGAGUCGGGCGUUUCCUGCAAACACAAGUUGAAAGGUGAAAGGUUUGAUGCUUUUUUAGGAAAAAAAUAGUCGAGAAUGAGCUUAUAUCCGGCGGGAUUUAAUAGCGCACCCCCGGGAACAGAAGCUAAGAAAUACAAGGUGGCCGAUCGUAUAAUAUGCUGAGUCAGACAUCGCGGACCAAAUAUAGCGAGUGGAACGCGCCAACGUCGAUGUACGGAAAGAUUUUUCAAUGAUCCGCAGGCGUAGAUCCGCCCGGGCAGAUGAAUGCAUUGGAUAUCCUGUAUGACUGUGUUUCACUGUCUGGAUUCGUGUUCGGAAAGAGGGACGGAAAAAAGGAAGAAAGAGAGAGAGAGAGACGAAUCCCGUGAGAGUGCAAAGUCUGUGAAGGGAGACGCAAAGAUACGCUAGUCGUUUCCGCGUAAGGAUGGUACAGGCAUCGAGGUCACUGGCGUCUUCGCGAAGCUAUCCGACAAGACAUUUCCGGUUCUUGACCUGGUCUUCGUGCGCUCGCUUGGGAUUGAAUCGAGGGUCGAUCGUCGCAUUGCAUUGAAAGUGAUUGAUGUGUUCUCGAUGUGACGGAACUGAUAAUUAAGAUGAUUGAAUUCAAUGACAAAUUACGACGAAUAUUUGUACCAUUUUUAAGGUGUAACGAGGGGAGUGAAGUUUGACGAUUACUUCGAUGGUUUUUGGAAUAAUGUGAAGGAUCCAAAUCGAAUAUUGCAAUGUCGAUUCGAAUGGUAGCGGAUUUAGAGAUAUUGCCGAGCAGCUGAAAGAAAUACUGUAACAUCGUCUGAGCACUAAGGUCAAAGCACCCUUGGCCGACGUCCAGAGCUGCAAGACUCGAACAAGUGAGUGUCGCGAGCGCCGUGCGAGUAAACCAUUUGUUUCUCCUUGCCAUUUUGCUUGUAUCUCGUUAGAAUUGUCGGUGGUGAAUCGCCGCUCUUAACAGAGACUCGAGAGUCAAGGGGAGCGCCAAAGAGAUCGGUAAACGAUUUCUUUCUACGAACGCGUGAGCUCGCGUACGAAGAAUAGUU
rnacentral:lncRNA from 1 species